rnacentral:rRNA from 1 species
UGCUCCCUGAUGUUAGCGGCGGACGGGUGAGUAACACGUGGGUAACCUGCCUGUAAGACUGGGAUAACUCCGGGAAACCGGGGCUAAUACCGGAUGGUUGUUUGAACCGCAUGGUUCAAACAUAAAAGGUGGCUUCGGCUACCACUUACAGAUGGACCCGCGGCGCAUUAGCUAGUUGGUGAGGUAACGGCUCACCAAGGCAACGAUGCGUAGCCGACCUGAGAGGGUGAUCGGCCACACUGGGACUGAGACACGGCCCAGACUCCUACGGGAGGCAGCAGUAGGGAAUCUUCCGCAAUGGACGAAAGUCUGACGGAGCAACGCCGCGUGAGUGAUGAAGGUUUUCGGAUCGUAAAGCUCUGUUGUUAGGGAAGAACAAGUACCGUUCGAAUAGGGCGGUACCUUGACGGUACCUAACCAGAAAGCCACGGCUAACUACGUGCCAGCAGCCGCGGUAAUACGUAGGUGGCAAGCGUUGUCCGGAAUUAUUGGGCGUAAAGGGCUCGCAGGCGGUUUCUUAAGUCUGAUGUGAAAGCCCCCGGCUCAACCGGGGAGGGUCAUUGGAAACUGGGGAACUUGAGUGCAGAAGAGGAGAGUGGAAUUCCACGUGUAGCGGUGAAAUGCGUAGAGAUGUGGAGGAACACCAGUGGCGAAGGCGACUCUCUGGUCUGUAACUGACGCUGAGGAGCGAAAGCGUGGGGAGCGAACAGGAUUAGAUACCCUGGUAGUCCACGCCGUAAA